rnacentral:snoRNA from 1 species
GAGUAAAGAGGAAAAAGAGGGAGAAUGGAAGCGAGAAUGAGAGUGAAUAUGAUAUUGAGAGGGAAGAUGAGAGGGGAGGAGGAAGGAAUGAGUAACAAAAGUGAAAACAAAACUAAAAACUGAAGUCUAUUUGAAAUUGUUUUCACUUUUGUUACUCUUUCCUCUUAUCAUUUCCUCUCAUCCUCACUCCCAUUUUCCUUUAUACUUU